rnacentral:misc_RNA from 1 species
CCUAUAGAUUUUUACAAUUAUUGCAAAUGUCAUUCUUUUCAUAAACUUUGAAAAAAAAUAUUUUUUUAACAAAAAAAAAAGGACAAUAACAGAGGUUUAUUUCAUCUAAUUGAGGCAUAGGAAUAUUCCUAUAUGCAUGGUGGCAAUAGAGCAAAGGCAAUCCUUUAUUAAGCUAUUAUAUCGUACUUCAAAUAAUAGUUAGAUUUAUAAAUUGCCUCUAAAUUUUAAGUGCGAACGUUUAUUACAAAAUUGCCGAAGAAUGCAAAUAGGAAAGAGACAUUUUGAAAUUGCUACAAAAUGGAUCCCAUCUGCAUUAACUUAUGGAGGAGCAGCUGGUUUGACACUGAUUUAUUUUACCGAUUGGAAAGUAGUAGCUAGAUACAUACCAUUUUAUGGAAGCAAAUUUGACAACUAAGUUGUAAAAUAUAUUUAUUGUAAUAUGUUACUUAAUAAAUUAUAGUACUAUAUAAUUUAAUGGAUUAUUUAUUAAAUAUAUGCAUUACAUUCUG